GGGGGGAUGCUAAGAGUUGAGGGAGAGAGGGUGGGGGGGUGGAUGCUAAGAGUGGACGGGAGAGGGGAUGCUAAUCCAAAUCCAGGCCCCCAGAGCCACCUGAGAUCCUCCCCAUCUUCCGGCUGCUGGCACCCAGAAAGCAAGAGAGGCAGGCUGGGAGCUGGAGGGGACCUCGCUCCCUGAGACAGUGGCUGAGAUGGGGGACAGGUGGCUGGCCAGCACCUCAGAGCAGCCAUGGGACCCUUGGGAAGCCCGGGAAGGGCUCUCAUGCCUGUAGGUGCUGCCUGCAGGGCCUCUCCACCUCCUGCAGGGCUUCACCAUGCACCUCGGGAUGGUUGGGAAGCUCCAGGGAAUGGAGCACAGCGGGCAGAAACAGUUGGCUACUGCCACAGACCUGGGCGGUACCUGGUCCUGGUCAGGCAGAGAGAGACUCACAGACGUUCCCUCACAGGAACCAGGCUAGGAGACGGGUGUUGUGGACUGACACCAGGAUUUCUUUGUGGAUGUCACGAUGUCAAGUCGCUCAGUCGUGUCCCACUCUUUGCGACCCCAUGGACUGCAGCCUACCAGGCUCCUCCGUCCGUGGGAUUUUCCAGGCAAGAGUACUGGAGUGGGGUGCCAUUUCUUUCUCCAGGGUUCUUAACAUAUAUUCCAUAUCAAUGACCAAAAAACCCUCAAUAGUGGCAGGUGUAAAGAUACUCUUAUUAAAAUCAAGUGGAAAAGAAGGAUAUUUUCUGCAACAUUAUUUAACAUAAUACUCAGAGUUAGGAAGGAAGUAAAGCAAGGAAUGAACAGCAAAAAUGGCGAUUGUGCACAGGAUUAAAAAAAUUUUACUUACAGAUAAUAUGAAUAACCCAACAAGCUUGUAGACUUAAUAACACAGUUGAGUAAAAUGGUUAAAUAUUAUGAUAGAUAUGUAAGUAUCAGUAACUUUUACUUAUAUGAAAUUGCAGAUAAAGAUUUGAGUUUUUCUGUAGGUGAGUAUUUGUCAACCAAGCUUUAAAAAAUAUAUGGAUGCCUGGCCCCCACACCAGACUAGUUAAAUGCCCAUCUCUUUGUGGAAGGAGUAGCUUUCAGCCGAUUUGUGGACGCAGCCAGAUGGCCAUGGAGGGUGACUGCUUAUAGGCACGUCUUGGUUUGGAACCAGUGGGGAGGCCUCCCUCCCUGGAAACAGGAUGGAUGAAAGCCCCACCGGGAGGGCUGAGCUGAGUUACAGUGAGCUGAUGGCUCUGCCCAGCCCCCAGCCCCCACGCCCUCCCCUCGGUGCCUCCUCCCCUCUGACUCCAGAGCCCCCCUGACUAGAUGGAGCUGAGCUGGUCCCCCUCAGCUGGCCAGCAGAUGGAUCCGCAGCUCCUCGAACAGCCACGUGCAGAUGGUCGGCUCACUGUGAAUACGUGAAAGAGUGAAAGGACUGAGCGCCCACACGCUGAAGCCAAAGCAUGCCCAUAUGCGCAUCCUGCUCCGGGUGCUCUAGUGGCAGGAGACAGAGAGAACUCUAGAAGCUUCUCCCUGGAGUCACGGAAAUCCAGCUCAUCCUCUGCAUCCCGCCCUGGUCCCUUUCCAGGGCCUGGCUUCUCCAGAAUGAGUCAGCUGUCUCCAGAAGCAUGCCACUUCCUUCCCUUUCCUUGGAGGCUCUGAAACAUCUUUUUAGAUCCCUUAUUCCAUUCAUCUCCAGACUUUUGGAAGCGGCUGCCUACCCAGCAAAUGGAGGUCACCCGAGGGAGGUGGAGACUCCAGGAGGGCUGACUCGAGGCUGGGAGGCAGUGACCCUGGACGACAGGUCUAAGGAGGGGUGUCGUGACAGCUCUGGCUGCCGAGGCGUGGAAAAGGCAGAUGGGCAGUCUUCAGGGCCGAUCUGGGGCAGCUACAACCCUUUGAUCUGCAGGGCCAGCUUGGCCUCUCCAUCUUCAAUGAGAGGAGGCAGCUGAGAAACGCCAUCCCCAUCAAGGCGUCCUCUGCAACUGCUCUGCUCCUGCUCAUCCUCACAGACCCCGGGGCUACCGUGGCAGAGCCGGAUCCAGACUGGCUGUGCUGACAAGAGGACCAGUGGUGUGUGUGGAGCUGCAGCCCACAGUGGAUGAGAAGAAGGCUUCUCAGCUCCUCUAGGAGACGGGCUCUCUCAACCCUAAAGGCCAAGACAUCAGAGGGGCAGUUAACCUAAAGAACUGGGUUGGGGGGAGGGGGACAGGAUCUUAAUCCUUGUUCUGGGGCCAGAGCACAGUUGGUCCCGCAGGAGAGAAUCUAGGCUUCUCCUUGAAGCAGACAGGGACUAAAGUGGCUAAGAAUAAGGACUCACUUUCUAGUUCCCAAUCAGGCCACUCUCAGUUUCCCAAACGUAAGUUUCUCCAGUCCCUCAAGGGAAGAGAACCAGAGAGGCAGAUGGUACAGCAAGUGAUUGGUAGAGGGGACGUCUUGGACACGCCCUCACCACACUGUACCAUCCA